AUUAUAGUAAUUUAAUGGUAGAAUAUUUGCUUGUGGUGCUUAUUGUUUAGGUUCAAUUCCUAACUAUAAUC
rnacentral:tRNA from 1 species